rnacentral:antisense_RNA from 1 species
CUCAAUGGGCGGGCCGUGCAGGGGGCCGAAAGGCCCACCGGACCUAGCCCGGCAAGACCAACCUGCACGGUUCCGCCCACCCCG